GAUUAAGUUAUUAAGGGCGCACGGUGGAUGCCUUGGCACUAGAAGCCGAUGAAGGACGUUACUAACGACGAUAUGCUUUGGGGAGCUGUAAGUAAGCUUUGAUCCAGAGAUUUCCGAAUGGGGAAACCCAGCAUGAGUUAUGUCAUGUUAUCGAUAUGUGAAUACAUAGCAUAUCAGAAGGCACACCCGGAGAACUGAAACAUCUUAGUAACCGGAGGAAGAGAAAGAAAAUUCGAUUCCCUUAGUAGCGGCGAGCGAAACGGGAAGAGCCCAAACCAACAAGCUUGCUUGUUGGGGUUGUAGGACACUCUAUACGGAGUUACAAAGGACGACAUUAGACGAAUCAUCUGGAAAGAUGAAUCAAAGAAGGUAAUAAUCCUGUAGUCGAAAAUGUUGUCUCUCUUGAGUGGAUCCUGAGUACGACGGAGCACGUGAAAUUCCGUCGGAAUCUGGGAGGACCAUCUCCUAAGGCUAAAUACUCUCUAGUGACCGAUAGUGAACCAGUACCGUGAGGGAAAGGUGAAAAGCACCCCGGAAGGGGAGUGAAAUAGAACCUGAAACCGUGUGCUUACAAGUAGUCAGAGCCCGUUAAUGGGUGAUGGCGUGCCUUUUGUAGAAUGAACCGGCGAGUUACGAUUUGAUGCAAGGUUAAGCAGUAAAUGUGGAGCCGUAGCGAAAGCGAGUCUGAAUAGGGCGUUUAGUAUUUGGUCGUAGACCCGAAACCAGGUGAUCUACCCUUGGUCAGGUUGAAGUUCAGGUAACACUGAAUGGAGGACCGAACCGACUUACGUUGAAAAGUGAGCGGAUGAACUGAGGGUAGCGGAGAAAUUCCAAUCGAACCUGGAGAUAGCUGGUUCUCUCCGAAAUAGCUUUAGGGCUAGCCUCAAGUGAUGAUUAUUGGAGGUAGAGCACUGUUUGGACGAGGGGCCCCUCUCGGGUUACCGAAUUCAGACAAACUCCGAAUGCCAAUUAAUUUAACUUGGGAGUCAGAACAUGGGUGAUAAGGUCCGUGUUCGAAAGGGAAACAGCCCAGACCACCAGCUAAGGUCCCAAAAUAUAUGUUAAGUGGAAAAGGAUGUGGCGUUGCCCAGACAACUAGGAUGUUGGCUUAGAAGCAGCCAUCAUUUAAAGAGUGCGUAAUAGCUCACUAGUCGAGUGACACUGCGCCGAAAAUGUACCGGGGCUAAACAUAUUACCGAAGCUGUGGAUUGUCCUUUGGACAAUGGUAGGAGAGCGUUCUAAGGGCGUUGAAGCAUGAUCGUAAGGACAUGUGGAGCGCUUAGAAGUGAGAAUGCCGGUGUGAGUAGCGAAAGACGGGUGAGAAUCCCGUCCACCGAUUGACUAAGGUUUCCAGAGGAAGGCUCGUCCGCUCUGGGUUAGUCGGGUCCUAAGCUGAGGCCGACAGGCGUAGGCGAUGGAUAACAGGUUGAUAUUCCUGUACCACCUAUAAUCGUUUUAAUCGAUGGGGGGACGCAGUAGGAUAGGCGAAGCGUGCGAUUGGAUUGCACGUCUAAGCAGUAAGGCUGAGUAUUAGGCAAAUCCGGUACUCGUUAAGGCUGAGCUGUGAUGGGGAGAAGACAUUGUGUCUUCGAGUCGUUGAUUUCACACUGCCGAGAAAAGCCUCUAGAUAGAAAAUAGGUGCCCGUACCGCAAACCGACACAGGUAGUCAAGAUGAGAAUUCUAAGGUGAGCGAGCGAACUCUCGUUAAGGAACUCGGCAAAAUGACCCCGUAACUUCGGGAGAAGGGGUGCUCUUUAGGGUUAACGCCCAGAAGAGCCGCAGUGAAUAGGCCCAAGCGACUGUUUAUCAAAAACACAGGUCUCUGCUAAACCGUAAGGUGAUGUAUAGGGGCUGACGCCUGCCCGGUGCUGGAAGGUUAAGAGGAGUGGUUAGCUUCUGCGAAGCUACGAAUCGAAGCCCCAGUAAACGGCGGCCGUAACUAUAACGGUCCUAAGGUAGCGAAAUUCCUUGUCGGGUAAGUUCCGACCCGCACGAAAGGCGUAACGAUUUGGGCACUGUCUCAACGAGAGACUCGGUGAAAUCAUAGUACCUGUGAAGAUGCAGGUUACCCGCGACAGGACGGAAAGACCCCGUGGAGCUUUACUGUAGCCUGAUAUUGAAAUUCGGCACAGCUUGUACAGGAUAGGUAGGAGCCUUUGAAACGUGAGCGCUAGCUUACGUGGAGGCGCUGGUGGGAUACUACCCUAGCUGUGUUGG
rnacentral:rRNA from 1 species